rnacentral:rRNA from 1 species
CCUACGGGAGGCAGCAGUGGGGAAUAUUGGGCAAUGGGCGCAAGCCUGACCCAGCAACGCCGCGUGAAGGAAGAAGGCUUUCGGGUUGUAAACUUCUUUUCUCAGGGACGAAGCAAGUGACGGUCCCUGAGGAAUAAGCCACGGCUAACUACGUGCCCGCAGCCGCGGUAAUACGUAGGUGGCAAGCGUUAUCCGGGUUUACUGGGUGUAAAGGGCGUGUAGGCGGGGACGCAAGUCAGAUGUGAAAACCACGGGCUCAACCUGUGGCCUGCAUUUGAAACUGUGGUUCUUUAGUACUGGAGAGGCAGACGGAAUUCCUAGUGUAGCGGUGAAAUGCGUAGAUAUUAGGAGGAACACCAGUGGCGAAGGCGGUCUGCUGGGCAGCAACUGACGCUGAGGCGCGAAAGCGUGGGGAGCAAACAGGAUUAGAUACCCUAGUAGUC